rnacentral:rRNA from 1 species
GCAGUCGAACGAUGAAGACCGGUGCUUGCACUGGUUGGAUUAGUGGCGAACGGGUGAGUAAUACGUGAGUAACCUGCCUUUGACUCUGGGAUAAGCCUUGGAAACGAGGUCUAAUACCGGAUAUGACACAGUUUCGCAUGAAAUCUGUGUGGAAAGGGUUUGUACUGGUUUUAGAUGGGCUCACGGCCUAUCAGCUUGUUGGUGAGGUAAUGGCUCACCAAGGCGACGACGGGUAGCCGGCCUGAGAGGGUGACCGGCCACACUGGGACUGAGACACGGCCCAGACUCCUACGGGAGGCAGCAGUGGGGAAUAUUGCACAAUGGGCGCAAGCCUGAUGCAGCGACGCCGCGUGAGGGAUGACGGCCUUCGGGUUGUAAACCUCUUUCAGCAGGGGAGAAGCGAAAGUGACGGUACCUGCAGAAGAAGCGCCGGCUAACUACGUGCCAGCAGCCGCGGUAAUACGUAGGGCGCGAGCGUUGUCCGGAAUUAUUGGGCGUAAAGAGCUUGUAGGCGGUUUGUCGCGUCUGCUGUGAAAGCCCGGGGCUUAACUCCGGGUUUGCAGUGGGUACGGGCUAACUAGAGUGCAGUAGGGGAGACUGGAAUUCCUGGUGUAGCGGUGGAAUGCGCAGAUAUCAGGAGGAACACCGAUGGCGAAGGCAGGUCUCUGGGCUGUAACUGACGCUGAGAAGCGAAAGCAUGGGGAGCGAACAGGAUUAGAUACCCUGGUAGUCCAUGCCGUAAACGUUGGGCACUAGGUGUGGGGGACAUUCCACGUUUUCCGCGCCGUAGCUAACGCAUUAAGUGCCCCGCCUGGGGAGUACGGCCGCAAGGCUAAAACUCAAAGAAAUUGACGGGGGCCCGCACAAGCGGCGGAGCAUGCGGAUUAAUUCGAUGCAACGCGAAGAACCUUACCAAAGGCUUGACAUAUACUGGACUCCCCUAGAGAUAGGGUUUCCCUUCGGGGCUGGUAUACAGGUGGUGCAUGGUUGUCGUCAGCUCGUGUCGUGAGAUGUUGGGUUAAGUCCCGCAACGAGCGCAACCCUCGUUCUAUGUUGCCAGCACGUGAUGGUGGGGGACUCAUAGGAGACUGCCGGGGUCAACUCGGAGAAAGGUGGGGAUGACGUCAAAUCAUCAUGCCCCUUAUGGUCCUGGCCUCACGCAUGCUACAAUGGCCGGUACAAAGGGUUGCGAUACUGUGAGGUUGAGCUAAUCCCAAAAAGCCGGUCUCAGUUCGGAUUGGGGUCUGCAACUCGACCCCAUGAAGUCGGAGUCGCUAGUAAUCGCAGAUCAGCAUCGCUGCCGAU